rfam:Ailuropoda melanoleuca scaffold1662_31, whole genome shotgun sequence.
ACCUGGCUGGCUCAGUCAGUAGACCAUGGGACUUUUGAUCUCAAGGUCAUGAGUUCAAGCCCCACGUUGGGUG